UUCCAUUGCCUUCAUCCAUUUAUCCUUAGCAGGGCAUGAGGGAGCCUCUUGAAAUGAACUCGACUGCUCAUCAUCUCCUGGAGAAACCAUUAAUGCUUCCCCUUCAAUCUUGAAAUGAUGUUGGAGAACAUUCCCUCACUACUCCUACGCAACUGUAUCUCUUGAGGACUCUCAAAUAUCCUCCCAUUUGGAUUAGCAGGUGGAGGUACAACUAUUUGUUC
rnacentral:lncRNA from 1 species